AGCGAACGCUGGCGGCAGGCUUAACACAUGCAAGUCGAGCGGGCGUAGCAAUACGUCAGCGGCAGACGGGUGAGUAACGCGUGGGAACAUACCUUUUGGUUCGGAACAACACAGGGAAACUUGUGCUAAUACCGGAUAAGCCCUUACGGGGAAAGAUUUAUCGCUGAAAGAUUGGCCCGCGUCUGAUUAGCUAGUUGGUGAGGUAAUGGCUCACCAAGGCGACGAUCAGAGCUGGUCUGAGAGGAUGAUCAGCCACAUUGGGACUGAGACACGGCCCAAACUCCUACGGGAGGCAGCAGUGGGGAAUAUUGGACAAUGGGCGCAAGCCUGAUCCAGCCAUGCCGCGUGAGUGAUGAAGGCCCUAGGGUUGUAAAGCUCUUUGUGCGGGAAGAUAAUGACGGUACCGCAAGAAUAAGCCCCGGCUAACUUCGUGCCAGCCGCCGCAGUAAC
rnacentral:rRNA from 1 species